rnacentral:sRNA from 1 species
CUGAAAUCACCAAGACUCACCCCCAACAAGGAGGA